rnacentral:rRNA from 1 species
GACGAACGCUGGCGGCGUGCUUAACACAUGCAAGUCAAGGGGGCCCAGCAAUGGGCGAACCGGCGAACGGGUGCGUAACACGUGAGCAACCUACCGAACUGUGGGGGAUAGCCGGCCUAACGGCCGAGUAAUACCGCAUACGCUCUCAGAGAGGCAUUUCUUUGAGAGGAAACCUACGGGACAGAUCGAGGGGCUCGCGGCCUAUCAGCUAGUUGGCGAGGUAACGGCUCACCAAGGCAACGACGGGUAGCUGGUCUGAGAGGAUGGCCAGCCACAUUGGGACUGAGAUACGGCCCAGACUCUACGGGAGGCAGCAGUGGGAAUCUUGCGCAAUGGGCGAAAGCCUGACGCAGCGACGCCGCGUGAGGGAUGACGGCCU